CGGGGGUGAGGGGGCGGGCGAAAAGACAGCAAUAAAAGCCAGAGUUCCUGGCGGAUUCCGCGGCGCAUGCGCCACCAACCACUCCCUUUCCUCCUCGGCAAAAGCCAUCCGCUUCGGUUGGAGCGCGAGCUGAUUGGCUGAGGCAUUUUACUGAAGGGCUGAAAGUAAAGUGAGUCGGUGUCAGCAGAAACCGUUGUCAGCAAACAAGAGUUGAAGUCCCUAGGCUGAGGAAGCAUGAAGCACCUGUCACCACCUGGGGAAAAUAAGAGGAUUUUCCAGCCAGCAGUACUUUCUCUUUGUCCUUUUAAAAGUGUGGGGGGUGGGGAUGAAUGCCAUCAACGAGUCAACUGUCACAUGCAAAUUGUUCAUAAUGGAAAGUUUCCAUCAAUCCUGAUAAUAUCUUUUGCAUUUUCAAAGCCUAUAUGGUUUUUGUUUACAGAGUCUAAUUAGCAUGUUCUGUUCUGAGUUUUUCCAUAUUAUUCCUUCAAACAUCUUUCUCUGGAGCCAAACCAGACCCUAGUUAUUCCUACCUCCACACCUUUGCAUAUGCUGUUCUGUUUGCCUGCAACGUGCUCAAACAUGACCUCAGUUGCUUCAGA